rnacentral:rRNA from 1 species
CACGUAGGGCGCGAGCGUGUCCGGAAUUAUUGGGCGUAAAGAGCUCGUAGGCGGCCUGUUGCGUCCGCUGUGAAAGCCCGGGGCUUAACCCGGGUCGGCAGUGGAUACGGGCAGGCUAGAGUGCGGUAGGGAGAUUGGAAUUCCUGGUGUAGCGGUGAAAUGCGCAGAUAUCAGGAGGAACACCGGUGGCGAAGGCGGUUCUCUGGGCAUGUUCUGACGCUGAGGAGCGAAAGUGUGGGAGCGAACAGG